AAUUUGUUCUUCAAAUAAAGCCAAAUAAUCUUCCAAGGAACCGGUUUGGCGUGUGAUAUGCAUAGCUUCAUACGCGUUGAUAGCCGAACUAUCGCCAAACCGUUCAAUAAGCCCUUAAGAAAACUGACUCCACUUAAUGGAGACAGAACAACGCAAGACCCAUUGUGCCCAAAACAUAGCCUGCCCCAACAUGGCAAUGAGCGCCAACUGCACGCGAUCCGAAGUUGGUGUUCGAUGGACUAAGAAGAAUUGCUCGGAUUGGGCAAGCCAGGCAAUAGGAUUUGUGCCGUCAAAUAUAGGAAGAUCCAUCCGCGGGAAAGACGGCGCCAGCGCUCCACCACUGCCGGUGGGAGAUUAUGUCUUGUCGCUCGCGAUUUCAUGUGGAGAACGCCCAUGAGCCUUGGUCAAGUUCUGAAGUUGAACCAAUAUGGAGGCUAGGGUGUUCGACUGAUAACAUGGAACCUUCAAACCCUCGACCUUGCCUGCGACCGAGCCGACUAUCGAGCACGAGGAAAGUUUCCAACCGAUAUACCAAUGUAGUGUGUAUCAUAUUAUGUAUAUUAAAAGUAAUAGUGUAAUAAUCACAAUUUUUGGUUUUCUAAUUUCAUUUACAAUACAUAAUUACCUUUGUUGUAGCAAGUAGUAGAUCCAGUAUUUGUUAUACAAUGAACUUAUUAACAAUUGGAAUAUUUUAUAUAGUGUGUAAUAUUUUUAUGUGUCAUAGUACUAAGUUGAACUAAUAUUUUUUUUUCUUUUUUCAGUUAUGAUACUUUGAUUGAAUUCAGUUUAUUUUGAUCAUUAUAACUCAUAAUAUUGGUAAAGUGAUAUUGAUUUCAUAUGUUCAUUUAUUUAUGUUAUAAAAUGUAUAUUAUAAUGUAUGCUAUGUCGAUGUGCUACUUGUGUACGCAGUAGUAAACAAUUGAGAAAUGACCAUCAGGCAGGUUUGCUCCAUAAAAGCAGAAAAAAUAGGCAAAUAAUUGACCACCAGGCAGGCCAUCUCCAUGAUCACCGGGCAGAUCACACUCCACUAAUAGCAUUCUAUAAUUCCUAAGUAAUAUGAUCUUACAAUAGGCAAAUAAUUGACCACCAGGCAGGCCAUCUCCGUGAUCACCGGGCAUAUCACACUCCACUAAGAGCAUUCUAUAAUUCAUAAGUAAUGUGAUCUUACUUUAGCGUGCAGGUGUUACUGAAUAUGCAUAUUUGUUGAGAUGAGAAAUUCUCAUGUACUGCAGCCACAAUAGCAGUGCAUGGCCUGUAUGGAUAAAAUAUUAAAUAGAUUCAUACUAACUAAUUAACUCAAUUAACCAACGUAAAAAGGCCCAGGUGCGUAGCAGCCUGGGCUGCAGUAACUCCUUUAUUGCGUCAAGAAUAAACCUGCCAAGUCGGCGCUCCUCCCCUCUGUGCAUCUCUAUCAUAGAACAGUAGCAGUCCUUACAAUCACAACUCUAGCCACAUCUAUGGCAGAACGAGAGGGCCCCAUACAAAUGGUUGGCUUUCAGAUCUGUUUUGAAGUCUGGUUGGCUUUAUCUUUACUAAAUGAUGUUUUAGCACUAGCUGGCCAGGGAUCAAUGAGAAUUAAUAAUUAUAAGGUUAGUUACAGAAACGGGAAACCUCUCAUGAUUUAAUUGCUUCUUCUCCUCUCUCUCUCUCUCUCUCUCUCUCACACACACACAAUUGUAACAAUCCUGAAAAUGAUACAAGUCUUUCAAAUAUGGUUUUUGUUAUUUUGCCUUAAUUUAUUCUCCUUUGUUGACAUCGAUCGCAGACUCUCCUUGCUAGUGACUACUCCUAAGGGAACUAUGGUUUGGCACGCCAGGUGACUUAUAAAGUCCUACAGAUCGGUUUAAUAAUGGGAGUAGCUUUGGAUGUAAUUUUGUAUCUUGGAUUUGGUACACUCUCCAGUCCGUUUAUCACUGACGAGGAAGUUUUGGUGAUUGCAAGAUCUGGAACCUUGGUGAGAAUCCCACCACGACUGGCAUAAUUAUAAAUGAAUUUACAUUGAUUUUGCAUACAUUACACGCCUUCUAGCAUGCUGAUUAGACGCACUCCUUGCACUUCUACAGCCUUGGUUUUGGCUCGGUAACAUCAUAAAUUAGAAAGCGACACAUUUUUAUGGCGUAGUAUUCACAAGUGAUUUAGCCAGUUAGUCUGAAAAACGAUCAUUCCUUGGCCUUAAAGCAGAGGAUUUAUAGAUCUAUCCUGAGUCCUGACACUAAGUGUUAUGAACAUGCUGCAUGCAUAUAGCUUAUUGAAUGGUCUAAACUUAUUGUAAACUAAUACUAGUAAAUUCAUUAGUGUGAUAUUCAGAGGUGGUAUAUUUGUUGAUGAUGUCAUAAAUAUGAGCUCAGGUUAAUCUUUUCCAAAAUGAACAUGAGCUUAGUCGCUUACUCCUCCCCCCACCCCCUCCCCCCCUUCUUGAUGAUUCAGUUCGUUGAAUGCUAUUACUUUUGUUCUUGACGGGCUAUAGUAUGGGGUUUCAGACUUCGGAUUUGCUGCAUAUUCCAUGGUAAUGCUGCAAAAUUACUCUAUGCUGACCACUCAUGGUUAUAAGUGACUAAUUGGACCAAUGUUUUUUGGGAGGUGUUUGUUGCAUUGAUCUCCUCAGCCUUCAUACUGGUAGCUGCUCCUUCGUAUGGCGUUGCAGGCGCAUAAGGUGGACUGUUUCUAUUUAUGACUUUGCGAGUGGUAUCUACAUAUAUCUUCUAUUCUAUUAGUUGAACCUAUGGCAUUCGAAGGGUGUCGAGUUCCUUGCUGAUCUCAAGAUAAGCACCAGAACUGGACCAUGGAGAUUGUUGUUGUCCAAUACCGAGAACGAUACUAUUUAAACUGCUAAAAAUUGUCUCCAAAUCUCCGUGUGUUCAGACAACCCCACUUUUAAGCUAGAACAAAUAUAAGAAUGUGUAGCCAACCCCAAGUUCUCUCCUCAGGGUGGCUCGCCUGCAGCAGUUGUUGAGCCAGGGGCGACAUAUGAACAUAUCAAUACAAGUACAAGAACUUCGACCCCCUAGUUGACUUACCACAAUAUGAUGAAACUAAGGUGCAUCUAGGAUGCAAACCAUCCAUUCGAGUGCAUCGUCGAACGACUAAGGAUACGAGUUCCCAAAUUUGAUAGGUAUUGUGCAGAGUAAGGGAUGAUUAAAUAUUUGUAACUGUAUCACUUUUAUUACAAGGCUUGAUCUCUCAAGUGUUAAUUCUUUUCAGCUA